rnacentral:rRNA from 1 species
UACGUAGGGGGCUAGCGUUGUCCGGAUUUAUUGGGCGUAAAGAGCGUGUAGGCGGCCAUGUAGGUCCGGUGUGAAAACUCGAGGCUUAACCUCGAGAUGUCAUCGGAAACCAUUUGGCUAGAGUCCGGAAGAGGAGAGUGGAAUUCCUGGUGUAGCGGUGAAAUGCGCAGAUAUCAGGAGGAACACCGGUGGCGAAGGCGGCGCUCUGGACCGAGACUGACGCUGAGGCGCGAAAGCGUGGGGAGCAAACAGG